UCCCCAGGCAAAAAUGUGAAAAAGCCAUGGGUUUAAAAGUGUAAUGUAAGUCGCUUUGGAUAAAAGCGUCUGCUAAAUGACCUGUAAUGUAUGUGUGUGUUGUUCAAGGGUCAUUUUUCUGCAUUAUACAAAUCAUUGAUGCAGCUACAUUCACUGGUAACAAGCAACUGUGUCUGAGCACCAAGCGUCCACCAUCAGAGCAGCUUGAUUUGGAUCAUCGAUGGAUCCAGGUCUGCGUCUCAGCAGUCACUCGCCUCCGGGCAUCAGACAGACGGCAUGCUGGGUAGUGCAGUGGCUUCUGCUUCUAGCUGGGUUAGCUUAGCUUCUAUCUCUGGGACGAUUUGGGGCAGUUUGGUCCAACGGGUCUAUCUAGGUGCAGGUUGCCUACAAGCCCGCCAGUCUUUGUCCAAUCCCAGCUACCAGCACGUACAUGGGCCCCGUUGCCCCACACAUGGGGGGAGCUGCUUCCCAGCAUGUCUGCGUUGGUGGUCACUUUGUAUCAGUCUUUAGCUUCUUUUUAAUUGAAUUAUUGCUUUGGGUCACUUCUUACAGGUCCUUUUGUGAUUCUGUACAUAUAUGUUGGUUAUGUAGUUUUGGUUGAAUUGGUUUUGUAACUCUGAGGCAUCAUCCGUACUGCCAACAACAAUCAACAAGAACUGCUACUCAAAUCCAGAAGAUGAGCAAUCUGCUGAGUCCGUGUUUAUUGGGUGCAUGGGGGGCUCUCCAGGUGGGGCAUGGGUUAGGGUUAGUCUGGUUGGGGUUUGUCUGGUUAGGGUUAGUCUGGUUGGGGUCAGUCUGGUUGGGGCCGGCCUGGUUAGGGUCAUUCUGGUUAGGGCUAGUCUGGUUAGGGUCAGUCUGGUUAGGGUUGGUCUGGUUAGAGUCAGUCUGGUUGGGGUUAGUCUGGUUAGGGUCAGUCUGGUUGAGGUUAGUCUGGUUGGGGUCAGUCUGGUUAGGGUUAGUCUGGUUAUGGUUAGUCUGGCUAGGGUCCGUCUGGUUAGGGUUAGUCUUGUUAUGGUUAGUCUGGCUAGGGUUAGUCUGGUUAGGGUCAGUCUGGUUAGGGUUAGUCUCCAUGUCUCACGUUUAGUUUCUCACAUAUUGAGACUGUUGGAGCGUUCUGCUGCCCCCACCCAGAGUACCUGA
ensembl:lncRNA